AUUGAACGCUGGCGGCAGGCCUAACACAUGCAAGUCGAACGGUAACAGGAAGAAGCUUGCUUCUUUGCUGACGAGUGGCGGACGGGUGAGUAAUGUCUGGGAAACUGCCUGAUGGAGGGGGAUAACUACUGGAAACGGUAGCUAAUACCGCAUAACGUCGCAAGCCCAAAGAGGGGGACCUUCGGGCCUCUUGCCAUCGGAUGUGCCCAGAUGGGAUUAGCUAGUAGGUGGGGUAACGGCUCACCUAGGCGACGAUCCCUAGCUGGUCUGAGAGGAUGACCAGCCACACGGGAACUGAGACACGGUCCAGACUCCUACGGGAGGCAGCAGUGGGGAAUAUUGCACAAUGGGCGCAAGCCUGAUGCAGCCAUGCCGCGUGUAUGAAGAAGGCCUUCGGGUUGUAAAGUACUUUCAGCGGGGAGGAAGGGAGUAAAGUUAAUACCUUGACUCAUUGACGUUACCCGCAGAAGAAGCACCGGCUAACUCCGUG
rnacentral:rRNA from 1 species